UUGGCACCGCUCUCCGUUCAAUCCGCCCGUUGUUACGUCACUGCGCGGGUCACGUGUCCCUCGGAUGUCACGUGCCUGCCGAGGUCAGGUGAUGCGGUGCGGAAGGAUGGCGGCAGCUCGGAGCUCCUGCAGUCUGGAGACUUUACUGAAUGAGGUGACGGAUCCAGAGAACGUUUCUGAAAGAUGGGACAGCAUUCAGGAGUUUUAUCAGCUGGUGAACUCGGAGCAGGACGGUCCUCAGGUCGCUCUGCGGUUGUUGGCUCAUAAGAUCCAGUCUCCUCAGGAGAGAGAAGCUCUACAGGCUCUGACUCUGUUGGAGGCCUGUAUGAAUAACUGUGGGAAACGGUUCCGCGCUGAAGCUACGAAGUUCCGCUUCCUGAAUGAACUCAUUAAAGUUCUCUCACCAAAGUAUCUGGGUUCCUGGAGUUCUGCUCAGGUGAAGGAGAAGAUAACGGAGGUUCUGUACAGCUGGACUCAGUGGCUGAAGGACGAGCCGAAGGUGCAGGAGGCCUAUCACAUGCUGAAGAAACAAGGUCUGGUGAAGAGCGACCCGAAGCUGCCGGACAGCGUGUUGAUGCCUCCUCCGUCUCCGAGACAGGAUGUGUCCGUGUUUGAUGAUGAAGACAAAGCGAAGCUGCUGUCCAGGCUUCUGAAGAGUGGACGGCCUGAAGACCUGGAGACGGCUAACAGACUCAUCAAGAGCACCGUCAGAGAGGAGCAGGAGAAGAUGGAGAGAGAGGGCAGGCGUAUCAGCACUUUACAGGAAGUGGAGAAAUGCACAUCAGAUCUACGACUGUUACUGAACCAACACACACACCACACUGCGGAGAUGAAGGAUCUGUACGAGCGCUGUGAUCGUCUGAGGCCGAACCUGUUCAGAUUGGCCAGCGACACCCUGGAGGACGACGAGGCUUUAGCUGGAAUUCUGAAGUGGAACGAUGAGCUGAGUCAUGUGAUGAACCUGUACAGAGAGAAAACACAGAAAGAAGAAGGAGAGAUGGGGGCGGAGCCUAUCCACAACAACGACAACGUAAACAACCAGGAGCCUGUCAGUCCUAUCAGGACGUACCACCUCAUUAACUUCUCUGUGGCGGGGGACAGCGCCCCCUGUGGCCACACUGAGGACGGCGGCUCUCUGAUCCUGCUGGAUGAGGACAGCGUUCCUGCCUACGAUUCCCGCAGUCCGAGAACAGAGGAAACGAGAUCGUACCUGGACGAGCUCAUACAGCUGGAGGACAUGGUGAGAGUUUCAGGCAGUAUGGAGAUGACCUGUGGGAAUGGAGACUACAGUACCCACAAUGCACCAGUAUUACCUGCCAUGGAGGAGCACCUGACCAGAUCAGAGUUCAAUCAGCCAAUCAUUACUCCAGGAUUUCCCAAGCCCCUCCCACCCUCCUCACUUCAGGACAUCCAUGUGCCUCUUGGAUCCAUUAAGCCCAGUCACUUAAAGCCGAUAACAGUUUUUGACCAUCAUGGGGUUCGUGUGUCUCUGCACUUCACCAAAGAAGCUCCUGCGUCUCGGCCUGACGUUGCUGCCUUUGUCAUCUCCGCUGUCAACACCUCUGCACUUCCUGUUUCUGACUUCCUGUUCCUGGCUGCUGUUCCCAAGUCAUUUUCAGCCCUCAUCUCUCUCUCUUUCUUCGUGUCCGUGCGCUUCAUACUCCUGCUUUCCAGACGAUGCAGGUGAAGCUGCAGCCGGCCACAGGAAGUGCUUUGCCUCCAUACAGCCCUCUGCUGCCCCCUGCUGCCAUCUCCCAGAUACUGCUGCUCUCCAACCCCCUCAGGAAGCCAGUGCGAGUGCGUUUCAAACUGACUCUGACACUCGGAGGGGAGACACUCCAGCAGGAUGGGGAAAUCGACCAGUUCCCGGAGUGGGACAGCUGGACUGACCUUUGACAUUUGAUCUUCGACCUUUGAGCUGCACAAUGAACGCCCUUUCACUCGUGCCUUAAUCAGUGUUCUUUCCUGAAUGAUGCGUCAGACCUGCUGAGUUUUAUACGUUUUAUAUUGUAUUUAUGUGUGAUUUAUAAACUCUGAGCUGGACAGUUUAAACUGCUGAAAUGUGUUAAAGUGCCAAAUAAACUAGGGUGUGCUGCCCCCUAGAGCUCAGUCCUGAAUCUCUCCCUGAUGCUGCUUUUACGCUGAUCCGGCAGCAUGAUGGGUCCUGCGUAUCGGAGCUGAACUUAGCUUCCUGUUCGAAUUUUCCUGUUCCACUUUAAAUGGUGCAAAAGUUACAUGAGGCACCAUUUAACUGCUGCAUCAUUUAAGGUGGAACAGGAAAAUUCGAACAAGAAGCCAGUGAAUUAGAAUCUGACCAGCUUUGCAGUUUUAAUGCUGAUAGUAUUUUUUAAAGGUGAUUUAAGAUACCAGAAUAUCCUACUUGAAGGUUUUAUUUAGAGAGCUACCUAUAAAUCGCUUUACCUAUAAAGCGCUACGGUAGUACAUUUUGACAAGAAAGCACAAUUUCUCACCAGCUGAGGAAAACUCCCAGGACUCACAUCAGAUGCCCAGAUGUCUGCGGUCACGCUAAUGUAGGCCUCAUUAUCGUCAGUGAGUGUGAAUAUGAGUAGCAGAAAAAUAACGACAACUGGGUUUGGUGUAACGUGUUCGAGCAGCAGUCGAAACCCAACAUCCUCCUCAUAAGAGAACAGCUGAUCAUCUAGAGUCAUGAACUCCAUCAGGUUUCCUGUAAUAUUUGUAGCUUUUAGGCUGUUUUUGACAACUGAGUACCUGCAGGAGUUUUUUGUUAGCUGGAUUUAUGGAUAUCGAUAUGAUUCCAAUACCAUCAUGCAUCUCUAGUUGCUGUGUCAGAGCAGCGUAAAUACAGCCUAAACUCUGCAGUCCUCGUUAAACUCCACACUUUAGUGACAUCAACAACGCGCAGAUCUACAGGGCAAGAUGUUCUGCAUGUCGGUGUAUCAGUCGUCCUGUUUUUAAAGACAAUUCAUCUGCAGAAUCUGAAUUUAGUUUACAAGCAUAACGCAGCUAAAAAGGUUAAUACAUUCAUCUGAGUAUCUUCUUCUCCAUCACGCUGGUCAGUCGAACAAGCCCCGGUCCUGUAGUUGACGCUGGAGGCCGCAGUGAGGGCGCGAGUGCUGUUUGGGACUGAGCUCUAAUUUACUCAUCUGAGGGUGUUUCGUGAAGACUCAUCAGUAAAGCUGGACAACUUAAACCCAAAGAGAGAAUUAAUUAUUCAUUAAUUGACCAGUUAAGAUGUAAACAGAGCGGUUCAGAGUGGUUUGGUGUGAAACGCUCCGUUCUAGAGAAACUUACAAAAUCAGAACUGUUCACAGUGGUGGUGA